ACAUGUGGAGCUGACGAAUACUAAUAGAUCGAGGACUUAACCAUAUAAUAUGAAGCAAUGUUAUCUAGUUUUGAAAGAAUAUAAAAAACUUGUUGACUUUCAGAGUUAAAUAAGUUACAAUAAUUCUUGUCUUAAAUGAAUACAGUCUGGUAAUGAUGGCAGAGAGGCCACACCCGUUCCCAUACCGAACACGGAAGUUAAGCUCUCUAGCGCCGAUGGUAGUUGGGACCUUGUCCCUGUGAGAGUAGGACGUUGCCAGGCAAAAUGGAGGAUUAGCUCAGCUGGGAGAGCACCUGCCUUACAAGCAGGGGGUCGGCGGUUCGAUCCCGUCAUCCUCCACCAUUUAGCCGACUUAGCUCAAUUGGUAGAGCAACUGACUUGUAAUCAGUAGGUUGGGGGUUCAAGUCCUCUAGUCGGCACCAGNAAGGCUGAGCUGUGAUGGGGAAGCUCCUUAUGGAGCGAAGUCUUUGAUUCCCCGCUGCCAAGAAAAGCUUCUAGCGAGAUAAAAGGUGCCUGUACCGCAAACCGACACAGGUAGGCGAGGAGAGAAUCCUAAGGUGUGCGAGAGAACUCUGGUUAAGGAACUCGGCAAAAUGACCCCGUAACUUCGGGAGAAGGGGUGCUUUCUUAACGGAAAGCCGCAGUGAAUAGGCCCAAGCGACUGUUUAGCAAAAACACAGCUCUCUGCGAAGCCGUAAGGCGAAGUAUAGGGGGUGACACCUGCCCGGUGCUGGAAGGUUAAGGAGAGGGGUUAGCGUAAGCGAAGCUCUGAACUGAAGCCCCAGUAAACGGCGGCCGUAACUAUAACGGUCCUAAGGUAGCGAAAUUCCUUGUCGGGUAAGUUCCGACCCGCACGAAAGGUGUAACGAUUUGGGCACUGUCUCAACCAGAGACUCGGUGAAAUUAUAGUACCUGUGAAGAUGCAGGUUACCCGCGACAGGACGGAAAGACCCCGUGGAGCUUUACUGUAGCCUGAUAUUGAAUUUUGGUACAGUUUGUACAGGAUAGGCGGGAGCCAUUGAAACCGGAGCGCUAGCUUCGGUGGAGGCGCUGGUGGGAUACCGCCCUGACUGUAUUGAAAUUCUAACCUACGGGUCUUAUCGACCCGGGAGACAGUGUCAGGUGGGCAGUUUGACUGGGGCGGUCGCCUCCUAAAGUGUAACGGAGGCGCCCAAAGGUUCCCUCAGAAUGGUUGGAAAUCAUUCGUAGAGUGCAAAGGCAUAAGGGAGCUUGACUGCGAGACCUACAAGUCGAGCAGGGACGAAAGUCGGGCUUAGUGAUCCGGUGGUUCCGCAUGGAAGGGCCAUCGCUCAACGGAUAAAAGCUACCCCGGGGAUAACAGGCUUAUCUCCCCCAAGAGUCCACAUCGACGGGGAGGUUUGGCACCUCGAUGUCGGCUCAUCGCAUCCUGGGGCUGUAGUCGGUCCCAAGGGUUGGGCUGUUCGCCCAUUAAAGCGGUACGCGAGCUGGGUUCAGAACGUCGUGAGACAGUUCGGUCCCUAUCCGUCGUGGGCGUAGGAAAUUUGAGAGGAGCUGUCCUUAGUACGAGAGGACCGGGAUGGACGCACCGCUGGUGUACCAGUUGUUCUGCCAAGGGCAUAGCUGGGUAGCUAUGUGCGGAAGGGAUAAGUGCUGAAAGCAUCUAAGCAUGAAGCCCCCCUCAAGAUGAGAUUUCCCAUAGCGUAAGCUAGUAAGAUCCCUGAAAGAUGAUCAGGUUGAUAGGUUCGAGGUGGAAGCAUGGUGACAUGUGGAGCUGACGAAUACUAAUAGAUCGAGGACUUAACCAU
rnacentral:rRNA from 1 species